GAUGAACGCUGGCGGCGUGCCUAAUACAUGCAAGUCGAGCGAACAGACGAGGAGCUUACUCCUCUGACGUUAGCGGCGGACGGGUGAGUAACACGUGGAUAACCUACCUAUAAGACUGGGAUAACUUCGGGAAACCGGAGCUAAUACCGGAUAACAUGUUGAACCGCAUGGUUCAACAGUGAAAGACGGUCUUGCUGUCACUUAUAGAUGGAUCCGCGUCGCAUUAGCUAGUUGGUAAGGUAACGGCUUACCAAGGCAACGAUGCGUAGCCGACCUGAGAGGGUGAUCGGCCACACUGGAACUGAGACACGGUCCAGACUCCUACGGGAGGCAGCAGUAGGGAAUCUUCCGCAAUGGGCGAAAGCCUGACGGAGCAACGCGACGUGAGUGAAGAAGGUCUUCGGAUCGUAAAACUCUGUUAUUAGGGAAGAACAAAUGUGUAAGUAACUAUGCACGUCUUGACGGUACCUAAUCAGAAAGCCACGGCUAACUACGUG
rnacentral:rRNA from 1 species